CCUCGGGGGGCAGCAGUGGGGAAUUUUGCGCAAUGGGCGAAAGCCUGACGCAGCAACGCCGCGUGGGUGAUGAAGGUCUUCGGAUCGUAAAACCCUGUCGUCAGGGACGAAGGUUGCAUGUCGAACAGAUGUGUAACUUGACGGUACCUGGAGAGGAAGCCCCGGCUAACUCUGUGCCAGCAGCCGCGGUAAUACAGAGGGGGCAAGCGUUAUUCGGAAUUAUUGGGCGUAAAGGGCGCGUAGGCGGUGCUUUAAGUGAGAUGUGUAAUCCUCGAGCUUAACUUGGGAACUGCAUCUCAGACU
rnacentral:rRNA from 1 species